AAUUGAACUUCGAUUAGUCGCCUUCAUGGCGUGCGUGCCCGUAAGGGAUAGAAGUUCAAUCUCAA
rnacentral:sRNA from 12 species